GAUGAACGCUGGCGGCGUGCCUAAUACAUGCAAGUCGAGCGGACGGGCGAGGAGCUUGCUUCUCUGAUGUUAGGGGAGGGGGGGUGAAUAACACGUGGAUAACCCACCUAUCAGACUGGGAACACUUCGGGAAACCGGCGCUAAUACGGGAUAAUAUUUUGAUGCGUGUGGUUCGAAAGUGAAAGACGGUCUUGCGGUCACGUAUAGAUGGAUCCGCGCUGCAUUGGCUAGUUGGGAAGGUAACGGCUUACCAAGGUAAGGAUGCAUAGCCGACCGGAGAGGGGGAUCGGCCGCCCUGGAACGGGGCCGCGGACCAGACGCCUGCGGGAGGCAGCAGUAGGGAAUCUGCCGCAGUGGGCGAAAGCCUUACGGAGCAACGCCGCGUGAGAGAUGAAGGUCUUGGGUGCGGGAAACUCUGUUAUUAGGGAUGAACAUAUGUGUAAGUAACUGUGCACAUCUUGACGGUACCGAAUCAGAAAGCCACGGCUAACUACGUG
rnacentral:rRNA from 1 species